rnacentral:rRNA from 1 species
GCGUAAUCAAUUGCCCCCUAAUUAGAGGCACGUAUGAACGGGAAAACGAGAAUAAUACUGUCUCUUUUCUGCCCCUAUAAACUUAUCUUUAGGUGAAAAAGCCUAGAUUAUUAUAAAAGACAAACAGUCCCCGUCGAGCUUUAAUCCCCCGUAGCCUAAUAAUUUACAACCUACUACAAUUUUUGUUGGGGUGACAAAGGAAUAUAAACUUCCUGCACAUAUACGACACCAAGUCAUACCUUAAAAGACCCUCCCACCGACCCUAGGUCCCAGUUACCGCGGGGAUAACAGGCUAAUCUUUCUGCACGAGCCCGCAUCAACCAGGAAGUUUGG